rnacentral:rRNA from 1 species
ACGCUAGCUACAGGCUUAACACAUGCAAGUCGAGGGGCAGCAUGGUCUUAGCUUGCUAAGGCCGAUGGCGACCGGCGCACGGGUGAGUAACACGUAUCCAACCUGCCGUCUACUCUUGGACAGCCUUCUGAAAGGAAGAUUAAUACAAGAUGGCAUCAUGAGUCCACAUGUUCACAUGAUUAAAGGUAUUCCGGUAGACGAUGGGGAUGCGUUCCAUUAGAUAGUAGGCGGGGUAACGGCCCACCUAGUCUUCGAUGGAUAGGGGUUCUGAGAGGAAGGUCCCCCACAUUGGAACUGAGACACGGUCCAAACUCCUACGGGAGGCAGCAGUGAGGAAUAUUGGUCAAUGGGCGAGAGCCUGAACCAGCCAAGUAGCGUGAAGGAUGACUGCCCUAUGGGUUGUAAACUUCUUUUAUAAAGGAAUAAAGUCGGGUAUGCAUACCCGUUUGCAUGUACUUUAUGAAUAAGGAUCGGCUAACUCCGUGCCAGCAGCCGCGGUAAUACGGAGGAUCCGAGCGUUAUCCGGAUUUAUUGGGUUUAAAGGGAGCGUAGAUGGAUGUUUAAGUCAGUUGUGAAAGUUUGCGGCUCAACCGUAAAAUUGCAGUUGAUACUGGAUAUCUUGAGUGCAGUUGAGGCAGGCGGAAUUCGUGGUGUAGCGGUGAAAUGCUUAGAUAUCACGAAGAACUCCGAUUGCGAAGGCAGCCUGCUAAGCCGCAACUGACAUUGAGGCUCGAAAGUGUGGGUAUCAAACAGGAUUAGAUACCCUGGUAGUCCACACGGUAAACGAUGAAUACUCGCUGUUUGCGAUAUACAGCAAGCGGCCAAGCGAAAGCGUUAAGUAUUCCACCUGGGGAGUACGCCGGCAACGGUGAAACUCAAAGGAAUUGACGGGGGCCCGCACAAGCGGAGGAACAUGUGGUUUAAUUCGAUGAUACGCGAGGAACCUUACCCGGGCUUAAAUUGCAGAUGAAUUACGGUGAAAGCCGUAAGCCGCAAGGCAUCUGUGAAGGUGCUGCAUGGUUGUCGUCAGCUCGUGCCGUGAGGUGUCGGCUUAAGUGCCAUAACGAGCGCAACCCUUGUUGUCAGUUACUAACAGGUCAUGCUGAGGACUCUGACAAGACUGCCAUCGUAAGAUGUGAGGAAGGUGGGGAUGACGUCAAAUCAGCACGGCCCUUACGUCCGGGGCUACACACGUGUUACAAUGGGGGGUACAGAGGGCCGCUACCACGCGAGUGGAUGCCAAUCCCAAAAACCUCUCUCAGUUCGGACUGGAGUCUGCAACCCGACUCCACGAAGCUGGAUUCGCUAGUAAUCGCGCAUCAGCCACGGCGCGGUGAAUACGUUCCCGGGCCUUGUACACACCGCCCGUCAAGCCAUGGGAGCCGGGGGUACCUGAAGUGCGUAACCGCGAGGAGCGCCCUAGGGUAAAACUGGUGACUGGG